rnacentral:lncRNA from 1 species
CCCCAGUACCAGCCGGACUCCCGCAGAUAGGAGAAGGUCUUUGCGAUGCAGAGGAGGUCUUCCUCGGGGUCCCGCGUCUGAGGCGCGCUGCCGUCUGGCUCCGGUGCUGCGAAGGUGGGCGCAGGCUCCUCCGGGAAGGCCGGAACCGGGAGGGGCUGCAUGAUGUGCUCCGUCAGAUCCUCUGCGAUGCCGCGCAGCGACAGCCUUU